AUUGAACGCUGGCGGCAGGCCUAACACAUGCAAGUCGAGCGGAUGAAGGGAGCUUGCUCCUGGAUUCCGCGGCGGACGGGUGAGUAAUGCCUAGGAAUCUGCCUGGUAGUGGGGUAUAACGUCCGGAAACGGGCGCUAAUACCGCAUACGUCCUGCGGGAGAAAGUGGGGGAUCUUCGGACCUCACGCUAUCAGAUGAGCCUAGGUGGGAUUAGCUAGUUGGUGGGGUAAUGGCCUACCAAGGGGACGAUCCGCAACUGGUCUGAGAGGAUGAUCAGUCACCCUGGAAGGGGGACACGGUCCAGGCUCCUACGGGAGGCAGCAGUGGGGAAUAUUGGACAAUGGGCGAAAGCCUGACCCAGCCAGGCGGCGUGUGAGAAGAAGGUCUUCGGAUUGUAAAGCACUUUAAGUUGGGAGGAAGGGCAGUAAGUUAAUACCUUGCGGUUUUGACGUUACCAACAGAAUAAGCACCGGCUAACUACGUG
rnacentral:rRNA from 1 species